CUUGUUGUAUUGUGUGGAGCAGCUGAGAUCAUAUCUCCACCCUCAGUAUGACUGCAAAACUCUACCUUCUGCUGCUCUCUCUCUGUCUGCCAUGUUUAAAUGGUCAGAGUCUGGAGUCCAUUCCCUCCAGUCCAGUCCUGAAAAAGCCUGGAGAAACUCUCAGUCUCUCCUGUAAGAUAUCUGGAUACACUGUUGACAGCCACAGCACACACUGGAUACGACAGCCAGCAGGAAAAUCCCUGGAGUGGAUGGGUUAUUCUGGAUUAGGCCUAGGCUACCAUGCUAAAAGGUUUGAAGGACGUAUGGAAACCACUAAAGAUACAAGCAACAGCAUGUUGACUUUGAAGCUGUCUGGUCUGAGAGCAGAGGACUCUGCAGCAUAUUACUGUGCAAGAGAGACACAGUGGUGUGAGUGAGUGGAUGAUCUGUACAAAAACACCUCAGAGAAUCUAACUGGCUACAGAGUCAACAGAGGGCAGUAGAGCAUCAGUACAGCAGAGUAACAUCCAAUGAAAGUCUCAGCCACAGCAUGCCCCUGAGAGCCUUAACAACCAGCAUAUUGUCAACACAACUACAUGUACAUGAACACAAUGUACACCAGAGGAGGCUGGUGGGAUGAGCUAUUGGAAGACAGGCUCAUUGUAAUGGAUGGAAUGGAAUCUAUUUAAAUGGAACGAUGUCAAGCACUUCGAUCAAACAUCAGUUUUAAGGUCUCUGUACUGCCUGUGAGUUUUAGAAUUAAUUGUACAAUUAUUCCAUUGGUUUUUAAAUCAAUCCACAAUUGUACACCACAAUACAUUACAGAUAUGCUUUUAAGUUAUGUACCUAAUAGGUCCCUCAGGUCUUCUGGAACUGACUUUUUAACUAUCCAAAGCCUAGGACCAAGAGGCAUGGAGAGGUAGCCUUUAGUUACUAUGCCCAAAGCCUGGAAUAGCCUGCCAGAGAACCUGGGGGGUCCGAAACUGUGGACAUAUUUUAAAGGGAUCUUAAAACACACCUUUUUAGCAUAGCUUUUUCUUAGGGUUAUUUUUAGUCAUUCAGUUUUAUUAUUAGUAUUAUUAUUUUUCCUGUGAAGCAAAUUGCAUUGCAUUCCAUGUCUAAAAUGUGCUGUAUAAAUAAAGCUUGAUUUGAUUUGAUCAUGUGGAAACCACA